rnacentral:rRNA from 1 species
CUCGUAGGCGGUUCGUCGCGUCCGGUGUGAAAGUCCAUCGCUUAACGGUGGAUCCGCGCCGGGUACGGGCGGGCUUGAGUGCGGUAGGGGAGACUGGAAUUCCCGGUGUAACGGUGGAAUGUGUAGAUAUCGGGAAGAACACCAAUGGCGAAGGCAGGUCUCUGGGCCGUUACUGACGCUGAGGAGCGAAAGCGUGGAGAGCGAACA